AAACUGCGAUAAGUAGCGUGAAUUGCAGACGCUUUGAACGUUAAACUUUCGAACGCACAUUGCGCCGUAGGAGUCCUACCCUACGGCACAUCUGGUUGAGGGUCGUGAUCGUAAACAGCCGCAAAGUAGCUGUAAUGAGACUAACUGGCGAAUCACGAGUUCGGCCCACCCGUACUCGGGCCGAGCGUGUUUUACCAUCAUGCUCUAGAGGAUAGCGACUUGCCACCGCUACCUACCACACGGACGGGCUAUCAGCUGAGGCGAUAGGUCCCCGGCCUUAGGGUAUCGUAACUACGUUGACUUAUGCGUAAAUACUCUUCGGCCAUGGGGAUACAGCUGCGUAGACUCCGUACGUGCCUGGUGAAGUAAACGAAAUCGUUUUCCCGACCUCAACUCAGGU
rnacentral:misc_RNA from 1 species